rnacentral:tRNA from 1 species
GUGGGUAUAGCUUGAUGGCAGAGCGCAUGCUUAGCAUGCACAAGGGCCUGGAUUCAAUCCCCAGUACCUCCA